UACGAAGGGGGCUAGCGUUGCUCGGAAUCACUGGGCGUAAAGGGUGCGUAGGCGGGUCUUUUAAGUCAGGGGUGAAAUCCUGGAGCUCAACUCCAGAACUGCCUUUGAUACUGAGGAUCUUGAGUUCGGGAGAGGUGAGUGGAACUGCGAGUGUAGAGGUGAAAUUCGUAGAUAUUCGCAAGAACACCAGUGGCGAAGGCGGCUCA
rnacentral:rRNA from 1 species